rnacentral:rRNA from 1 species
AGAACGAACGCUGGCGGCAUGCCUAAUACAUGCAAGUCGAACGAAGGCUUCGGCCUUAGUGGCGCACGGGUGCGUAACGCGUGGGAAUCUGCCCCUUGGUUCGGAAUAACAGUUGGAAACGACUGCUAAUACCGGAUGAUGACGAAAGUCCAAAGAUUUAUCGCCAAGGGAUGAGCCCGCGUAGGAUUAGCUAGUUGGUGAGGUAAAGGCUCACCAAGGCGACGAUCCUUAGCUGGUCUGAGAGGAUGAUCAGCCACACUGGGACUGAGACACGGCCCAGACUCCUACGGGAGGCAGCAGUAGGGAAUA